rnacentral:lncRNA from 1 species
AAAAGCAGAUCACCCACGACCAGCCGAUCAUCCCUUGCUGGCUCUGCGAAAACGUAGUGCACGCAAAAUGUAUUGGGUUUUCAGGCCUCGUGGGUGACGCAAUUUCAAAGCGGUCUGCAAAAAUGGUCUGCAUUACAGUUACGAGGCAUGUCGGUCUGUCGAAAAUGACAUGGUCACGUUUAUGAGGCAGACGCAAAAAGGCUUUAAGGAGCUGACCGUGGGCUUUAAAAAGCAGUAUGUAGUGGCGCUGGGAGUUGCAGCUGAACACAAAAUAAUUACAAGCAGCGAAUGAUAUUAUCGCAUGCGAUAAAGUUAGAUAAAUUAUGCUGACAGAAUCAAAGCUUAGCUCAGCAAAGCUUAGCUGUUAAAUCAGCUGAUUGGGUGAAGCUUUCGUUGAUGACAGCUGUCAACAUAAGCUUUUAGAACACGGUUUUAGCACUUCCGAUCGCAUUUAAACGGGACGAGCCCCCAGAAAAAUUCUUCUUUUCGUCUAUCUAAAAUUCUGAUCGGUUCGUGACCCGUCCGAUAGUGAGUUAAUUUUUCGACCCACCACGUGUGUGUGAAAAAGUAAAAAGUUAAAAACCGAACGCCGUGCAGUGAAUAUAAAUAUCAGUGAAUUUAAAUUUCACCUGGCCUAGAGCCAUCCCAACGUUUUUGGGCGAGCGUGCAAUCCACGCAACCCCAAACUUUUUGGACUGGCGUUCAAUCCACGCCAUCCACGACAGAAGAGAAAUAUAAUUAUCCACGGAAAUCCCGGAAAGAUUGGUAGGUCCAAUGUGGGAGAGACCCGAACAAAGGUUCUUAUAAUAGCUCUUGGCUGUAUUCCUUCCCCCCCCCACAGGGCUUCGCUACGCUUUCCCCCCACACUCAGCCAGAGCAGCAGCGCAUUGACGUUUUGUUGGCAAUACGCUGAGGGGUGGGGAAUUUUUCUUGGGAGACCGGUGGAAGCCCGGCUCCAGAACCUAUGUAACACCAUAGCCAUGAUGUAACUUCACAAUGACCAUGACGUAACCUUGCAGUAACCUCUGCGCAGGCGCCACAGCCGACAGUGUCGUACCGCUAAGAGGGCCACCAUUAUAUCUUAGGCUGCAAUCAAAGCCUAAAGCACUGUCUUUUAUUUUAAUAAUUAAUUAAAUUUAAAUUUUGUUAAUGCUAAUACUCUUUUCUAUUAUUAUAUUCUAUUUGAUUUAACGACCUUUAAUUCCCCCUUAAUUAUGUGACAUUAGUGAAAGAAGAAAGAAAGGAAAAAUAAGUUUGUAAGAGAAAAAAAAAUAUUGAACUAUAACGUGCAGUCGGCCAAAGCCAACAGGGAACCAUAAUUAAUAUAUUCCACAGCUUCUUCAAAACCCCAGCGAAAGGCCUUUCAGCGAGGGAGUACUGUAAGCAUACAUACAUGCAUACCAAACUGUGAGUGAUAAAAGAUCAAAUUUUUUUUGUUCCCUUUUGGUGCGUUCUUCCCGCUAGACGAACCGACCAGCGCAUAAAAGUUUAUGCACUAGCGCCAGAGCUUUGUUGCUUUUGCUGCUAUUGUAAUUUGUGCACGCCAUGCAUUCCAUGCAGUUGCGUACAUGGAGAAACUAAAACGAAAAGUACACUAGCCAACAAAAAAAAAUUAUUUUUUUGUUUUCCUUCUUUUCUUUUUUUUUGAACAUAUGCUUUUCAUUAUUAUAUUUAGUCCCAUUCAUUUAUAUUCCAUAUUCAAUAAUCGUAUCUUAAUUUAAUGUUACAUUUCACCUAUUAUAUUCAUACAUACAUUUACUUUUUCUUUG